GAUGAACGCUGGCGGCGUGCCUAAUACAUGCAAGUCGAGCGAACGGACGAGAAGCUUGCUUCUCUGAUGUUAGCGGCGGACGGGUGAGUAACACGUGGAUAACCUACCUAUAAGACUGGGAUAACUUCGGGAAACCGGAGCUAAUACCGGAUAAUAUUUUGAACCGCAUGGUUCAAAAGUGAAAGACGGUCUUGCUGUCACUUAUAGAUGGAUCCGCGCUGCAUUAGCUAGUUGGUAAGGUAACGGCUUACCAAGGCAACGAUGCAUAGCCGAACUGAGAGGGUGAUCGGCCACACUGGAACUUAGACACGGUCCAGACUCCUACGGGAGGCAGCAGUAGGGAAUCUUCCGCAAUGGGCGAAAGCCUGACGGAGCAACGCCGCGUGAGUGAUGAAGGUCUUCGGAUCGUAAAACUCUGUUAUUAGGGAAGAACAUAUGUGUAAGUAACUGUGCACAUCUUGACGGUACCUAAUCAGAAAGCCACGGCUAACUACGUG
rnacentral:rRNA from 1 species